GUCUAUGGCCAUACCACCCCGAACAUGCCCAAUCUCAUCUGAUCUCGGAAGCUAAGCAGGGUCAGGCUUGGUUAGUACUUGGAUGGGAGAUAAGUUUCUUUGUCAACAGUGAAUCCACGUAGAGAGC
ensembl:rRNA 5S_rRNA 5S ribosomal RNA